CCCACUCUUGUUUUUAUCAUGUUGAGGGUUCUCCGUACCGGCCAUGUUUCGUUUUGUCAUGGUUUAAAUCUUUCCUUAAAAUCAAAGUUUCUCAGACCAACCUCCGUGGUGUGUUAGAUCCGACCUGUUUACUCUUACGUUUCGUGUUCCUCAGAGUGAUCACCUGUCUCCUCUUCGUUUUUAUUCAUAUUAAGAAUAUUAAUCACAGUCAUCUUUUAGUUUUCACUGAUAAUUUAAAAAUAUUUGUUCGUAUUGAUACAAUUGAUUGCUGUAAGCGUUAAAAUCUGAUAUGAAUAACGUUGUAACCCGGUCAAAUUAUUUGUACCUCCAGCUGAACAUUGGCCUUUGCACGUUAUCUUAGACCUCUUAUCUUCAGUUAUGCUAUUAAAGUCUUAAA